UCUACUGAGCAUGCCCUUCUACAGCUUGUCAACUAUAUUUCAUCAGCUCUCGAUAAUAACAAAUUUGCCCUUGGAGUCUUCCUGGACGUGAGUAAGGCGUUCGAUACGGUCAGCCAUGACAUAUUGAUUGCCAAACUAAACAGAUAUGGAGUGGAGGCAACUGCCCUGAAAUGGUUCAAAAACUAUCUUACUAACAGAGAGCAAUAUGUGCAUCUGGCUGGUUUUUCUUCCAAGAAAUCACAAAUUUUGUAUGGUGUUCCUCAGGGAUCAAUCCUGGGCCCUCUGUUAUUUUUAAUUUACAUCAACGACUUGGCCAUGACAUGCACCAAACUCCGCCCAGUAUUAUUUGCGGACGAUACAAAUCUUGUAGCUUUACACAAAGACUUCAACACCUUAAUCAAAAUUGUCAGUGAGGAACUAUCUCGUGUUGCGCAAUGGUUUCAAUGUAACAAACUAACCCUCAAUGUGAAAAAAUGCAAUUUCAUGAUAUUUUGUAAUAUUAAUAAACAUUAUCCUAUAGAAUUAGCUAAAGUCUUGAUCAUUUAUGCUGAAAUUGAAUUGGUUCAGCAUAUUAAAUUUCUAGGAGUUAUCAUAGAUAGCGGCCUUAAGUGGUCUGACCAUAUCGACCUUGUCUCAAAAAGAUCUGCGAAAAUGCUUGGCAUAUUGAGGAAGUUUAUUGUUGUUUUCUUGUUGAGUGUUUAGCCUGCAUGUCAUGAAAUCGAUAUGGGCAGGUGUGGAACUCUGUACAAGCCUGCUUUUUCCUUGAAUCUAACAUGUAGUUUAUUGUUGUUUUCUUGUUGAGUGUUUAGCCUGCAUGUCAUGAAAUCGAUAUGGGCAGGUGUGGAACUCUGUACAAGCCUGCAAAGGCUUCGUUCCCACCUUGCACAGAUUUCCUGGGCCCUCUAUUAUUCUGUACAAGUUUGAGGUCCCAGACCGGCUUUCUCCUCUGUUUGGUGGGAAGGGUGAGUCGGGGUUAAAUUGGCCUAACCCUAACCCAAAAUUCCUAUAGUUUGAGCCCAGCGUAACUUUACUCACAAAGUGCUUUACAGAAAACCAAAGACAGAACAACAUAAGAACAAGGGAAAAUAAAAACUUGAGAUUGAACUCAAAGAGACAGUGUCAGACCCGCUGAGGGAUUAACAAGCAAACAGAAAGGAACGGCUGUGAGGUGGGACUGAAGCAGAACUGACCAUAUUCACACGGCGGCCAUCUUCCUCUGACGUCACGUUCAGGGAGGGAAACUCAAACGCUGCGAUCGAAAGGAUAAAACUGUGCCAGUUGUCUGUCGAACACGCAGGAAAUCCAACAAAACUUGAUCCUUUCCUUUAUCGCUUCUUGAUUGAUCAGCAACUGAGAAAACAGUGGAUCCAGAGGGACAUCGGGCCAUAUUUCAAAUUACAACAACAUAUUUCUUCAUCUGUUAGCCACCGUUAGCCAACAGCUGUUGGUAUCAUUCAGCCGCUUCCUAGCUAACGUUACUGUUUGAUAUCGUUACGUGUUACGAUAAGUUCAUGUGCCGAACGAAACACCCACUGCUGAAGAGCUUGGAUCAUACUUCUGUUUUGGAUGUAAUCUGUAGGAACGUCAUACAGAACCCUGUGUUCCAGACAGCAGAACGUGGCAGAACAUUCCUGAGUUCAGCAGAACAUUAAAACCCAGCAGGACAGCUAACGUUACCCUGCUAACAUUAGCCUACUAGCUUCAGCACAGCCAGUGGCUUUCACUGCCACACUUUGAUAACUGAGUCACCAUGUUCACUGAGAUUUCACUGUUCAUUUACUCCUGUCGGAUCAUGUGACGCUUACGGUAAUGUUAGCUAGGAGGUGGCUGAAUGCUAACGUUAGCUGCUGUAGCUAACAGGUGAUCAAAUCUGUAGUUUGAGCUUGAAAUCUGAGCCGACGUUCCUCUGGAGUUUCUCUCCCCAUCGUCUCUUCAGUUGUUCCUCAGUCAUGAAGCGGUGGGACCUCAGCAGUUUGACGGGUUCUCUGUGGUUCUACGCCGACCCUGAAGAUGGCCCCGAGGUGAAUCUGGUCUUAAUGGGUCUCAAGUUAAAUCCUGCCGGUCUGUUUGUUCCGUCAGCAGCAGUUUAAAUUUUUAGGCGAUAUUUGCAAAACAGCGUGACGGAUGGUAGUGCUAGAUGUUGACUCUCUAACAGCUGACAGUCGGUUUCCAUCACAUGUCCUGAGAAUCUGCUUGUAGUGAACCUGUUUGAAGAGACAGCGCUCACAGAGUUUGGCUCUGGAAUUUGAUCGCCACCGUUUUUCAAAAGUGACACCUACUCCUACAAAAUGAUUGACAGCACAAAACAGCAUUUUACAGAUCCUCAUUUUUUAGAUGUUAUGAGUAAUGAACUUUUAUUCAAAGUUAAUUUUUAACGUGUUCAUCAAUUAAAACGUCUGCAGAUUCACCCUCAUCUUAAUUUAAGAACCGUAACUGACAUUAACAAUAUUGAGGUAAAAAAGUGAGAUCACGAUUUGUAUCAGAAAUGUGGAGUUCUUCCACUUUUUGAGCCUUGAAUCCAGAUGAGACAAUUUCAGUGUUUUAGCAAGAACCAGCUUUAUUCAAAUAAAUGCUCCCAAAUGGUCUGGCAACUCAUCUUGUAGCUCGUAGUUUAUGAAUCACUGUUAGACGACAGAACUGUCUGAAAUCAUAACUUAAAUCAGCUUUUUCUCAUCCAGUAUGACGUUAUUACCUGUUUGAUAUUAAUCCACAUGAGAUGGCCUUGUGGUUCCUCAAAACAUUGAGUCAACCUGUUGAAAAUGAACAUAAGACAAAAUUGGUUUUGUUCAGAGUGUGAAAAUAAACACUUUAAUUGAUAUUUCGUAUUGAUUUAUAAUGUCAUUGCUAUGGAUUAAGUGAACUGUUUUCAUUGCAUUUACUGUGCUGCAGUGUGAUGGAAAAAUCUUUUUAAUAUUCAUCAAAAAUUUUGAUGUGAAAAUACAGUUUCAAAGAGCACUCAUGUUUCUGCAGUAGCUGAGCUUAUUUAAUUGCACUGAACAUUCAAUAAAAUGCUUGAGUUUCACUCCAAA